CAGGUGGCUUGACCGUUGCUCUGCAUGAUUUACUUGUGGGCAGCAUAUCAGGCAGAAGCAAGCAAUCGAUCUGGGUAUAAGAGAGCCCAUCCAGUCACAUUAGGUUUUCAGUCUUUUUUCAUAUGGAGUAAGGGAAUCUCUUUUAAAUUCGCAGAUGCCCUUUGUGAUGCUUGUGCAGAUAGUGUGCUCCCCCCCCCCCCCCCCCCGCGGCCGUCCUAUAUCGAAUACUUUCCUCAGUUACUGUGAGUUACAGUCAACUGAUCAACCUGUGUAAACCCAUGGCUUUUUUCUUUUCAUGAUUUCAUCGGUGGGCCCUUUUUUGUUUCAUAUGUCCAUUAUGAAAUUCUUUGGGGUGUAAUCUUGUGCUUGUCAAUUGCCUUACAAUCCUAUGUUUGACAGUAUGAGGCAUGAUUUGUUUUUGCCUGUUUGAAAUUAUCAGACAUGCAGGCUUGUCCUGGGUUUGUAUCUUUGUGUUAUAUUGACUUGCUGCAUGGUUCUUAGUUUGACAAUAUAGUGCCAUUUAAUAAUAGGAAGACGUAAUUAUUGUUGUUAAUCUAUGGUAAUAUAGGAUCUACUCUCAGAUUUCCUAGUAUUUUCCUGUUUAUUUAUACAUUUCGGGUAGAUCAGCAAUAUCCUGUAAGAGGCAGUUUCUGAAAGAUGAACACAAUAUACACCUAUAUGGUAACUAAAAGUAUGCAAAAAACAAAAACAUUUUUCUCUCUUUAUAUUUGUGUGCUGUCAUACAAUGUCUUGAAGUUGUUAGUUCAAUUCCAAACACUUGAAUGAAUUUGUUUGUUUGUUUGUUUUUUUUUAAAUGUCAUUGGUAAAAUGUUUCUGAUAAGCUAUUACAGAUGUACUCAGAAUUAGAACUAGAUCAGUAGAUGUACUCAGAAUUAGAACUAGAUCAGUAAACCUUCCUAUUUUCGUUUGAACUGAGCCUCUACAACAUUUAGACCUUCUGCCUUAAAAAUAACAAAGGAUAUCAUUUUCUCAGAAAAGCCAAAUUAAACUUAUGAGUCUCUUUUUUGUGCUAAGGAUUACAUGACAUCUUGGCUUCUAACUCUUGUAAUACAAUAUUUAUGAACCCUCAAGAUUGAUUGAGGGCCGAAAUCAGUUUAGCUGCCUGACAAUGAUAGACAAAAUACUGCUACUGAGUGUGGUACAAUUGUACAAAGUAAGAUGCCGUUCCUGAUAAACAACCGAUGUAAUUUCAUUAUUUAUUGCUGUAUUUGUAAUUUUGUACUGACAUGAUAGUCAAUCGUGCUCGUGUUAAGGUUGUAAGUGUGCUGGUGGAGCUUGCUCUCUAAAUUUUAGACAUGCUGGGGCUGCUGACCUUCUAAGCUAGAAUCAAGAGGUGUUAGCAUUUCCCAUUGAAUCCCAUUGAAUUUUGCAAAAAACUUGAGUGUGCUUCAUGAACUUGGAUGGGCUUCUAUAGCUGAGAUAGUGGGAUUGGAGUAUAAUGCUGUUAGAUACACAUAACUCAUGUCGACCUUUCUUAGUUUGACAUUAUUGUGCCAUUUAAUUUAAGGAAGAAAAAAUUGAUGUUAAUUUAUGGUAAUAAUGGAUCUAAUUUCAGAUUUCUUUGACUCGCCAAUGGUACUUUCCAAUUUAUUUCUUAUACGAAGUACUAAAUUUAUAUUUGUGGUAGAUCAGCAGUAAUUUAUACGAGGCAGUUCCUAAAUGACAAACUCAAUAUACACUUUCUGAUAUUAUGCAAAAAACAAAAACAAUUUCUUGCUUUAUAUUUUGUGUUAUGUCAUACAAUGUUCUUAAAGUUAGUUAAAUCCAAACAUGUGAAUGAAUUUGUUUUUUAAAAAAAUGUCAUUGGUAUAGUAUUUAUGAUCAGCUCUUUCAGAUUUACUUGUAAUUAGAACUUGAUCAGGAAUGUUGCAUUUCUUAGAAGUAUAUUCUUGAUGGCUUGAUAUGCCUCUCAGCAGUAUAUUAAAAACCUUUUCACAAUUCACUUCCGAACCAAAAACCUUCCUAUUCUCUUUGAGUUGAACCUUUUGAGUUUUUAACAUUAAUUUCCUCCGUCUCAAAAAUAAAUUGCGCAUAGGCACAUAAUACAUAAGGAUAUCCCAGAAAACCCAAAUUGAAUAUAAGAAUGUUUCUUAUUUGUGUUUAGGAUUACAUGAUUGUAAUAUAGCGCUAAACUUUCAGAAGUUAUGAACCCACCAGAUUGAUUAAAGGCCGAAGUCAGUCUCGCUGCCUGACAAUGAUAGAUGAAGAAGUAUUGCUUUUGGGUAUUGAACAAAGUUUUAAGCGUGCUGCUGGAGCUUUGUUCUCUGAACAAUUUAGACAUGCUGGGGAUGCUGAACUUAUAAGCUAGAAUCAAGAGGCAUUGGCUCUCAUGUUGGCAUAUCUCAUUGAAUUCCUUGCUCUUGACUCAAGAGUGCACAGAAUCGAGGAGAUUGAAUAGAUCAGUGAGCGUUUUGUUUCAUAGUUGUAUUAAAAUCUUGCAAAAAGAAUGAGCAGCAAAGCAGGCUACUUGAGUGUGCUUCAUGAACUUAAAAGGCUUAUAUAACUGGGAUGUUGGGAUUGAAAUAUGAUGCUGUUAGAUACAACAUUACUCACAUUGACCUCUCAGCUGGCUAUAAUAAUUUUCAGUAGUUAAGUUGUUGAGGUGGGAUUGAUGCUUGCUAGAUGUCUCUUCUCAUCUUAAUGAAAAUUAUGUUGGACAUGAGGUUAUCUAGGUCCUACCCAAAUCAUAUGGUGUUAGUAUGAUUUAACAUUUUGUGGUGUCAGGGUGGCCUAUGAACCUUUAACUUGAUGGUGUAUUCACUCUUGUGAGUGGUGUUGCAGCCUUUAGUUUCAUAGACCUCAAUGAGAUUUGUUACUUAUGAUACUUGGGAGGCAUUUGCUAGCAGAUGUUAUAAGCCUGUGACCGGGAAUGAAAAGCAGAAAAGUGCAAAGAAAAGAGGUACCUUAGAGCUAUGUCUGGAAUUGAUAAAGACCUGUAGAAGAUGAAAUGUGGAUGCUAUUCUAUAUUGAAGCUUGCAGCUAGGUUAGUCACUACUCCAUAUUCUUUGUUGUAUUAGUUCAAAUAGUCAUCCUCAUUAGCUAUUAUUUAUGCUUAAACGAGUUAAAUUUAUUGCAAGAAUGCAUGUGGAAUGAUCGCUGCUCUGCAUGAUUACUUGUGGGCAGCACAUCUUGCAGAAGCUAGCAAUCAAUCUGGGUUGGGUACAAGAGAGCCCAUCCAGUCACAUAAGGUUUUCAGUCUUUUUUCAUAUAAGGGCAAUGCCUUAUGCCUAUGAUGUUGGAAUCUCUUCUAAAAGAGCUGAUGAUCUUUGUGAUAGUCUGUGCCCCCUCUUUGGCCCUAUACUGAACACUUUCUUCAUUUUACUGUGAGUUACUGUCAAGUGUCAACAGAACAACCUUGUAUUAUCAAAUACCAUGUCUUCUUUCCUUUCAUGAUUUCAUCGGCGAGCCUUUUUUUGUUUCAUAUGUCCAUUAUGAAAUUCUUUGGGGCGUAAUCUUGUCAAUUGCCAAACAAAUCGUACAAUCAUAUGUUUGACAGUAUGAGGCAUGAUUUGUUUUUGCCUGUUUGAAAUAAUCAGACAUGCAGGCAUUGUCCUGUGUUUAUAUCUGUAUGUUUUACUGACCUGCUGCAUGGUUCUUAGUUUGACAUUAUUGUGCCAUUUAAUUAAUAAUAGGAAGAUAUAAUCAUUGUUGUUAUAGGGUAAUAAUGGAUCUACUUUCAGAUUUCCUUGACUCGGCAAUGUUAUUUUACAGUUUAUUUAUAUAUUUCGGGUAGAUCAGCAUGGCUGUAUCCUGUAAGAGGCAGUUCCUGAAUGAUGAACACAAUAUACAUCUAUAUAGGAACUGAAAUUAUGCAAAAAACAAAAACAUUUUCUUUCUUUAUAUUUUUUGUGCCGGCAUAUAAUGUUCUUGAAGUGAGAUUGAGGUGAUGGAGUAGUGAACUAGUGACAUCGCUCUCACCUCAUAUUCUUGAGGUCUAGGGAUCAAAUUUCAUGGGACUCAUUUGAGGGAUUUUUCUUAUUCCCCCCUCAAAUGAGCCCCUUCUUCUUACCAUUUUAAAAAAAAAAUAAAUAAUAAAAAAAAACAAUGUUCUUGAAGUUGUUGGUUUAAUCCCCAACACGUGACUGAAUUUGUUUUUUAAGGAAGUCUUCGUAUAAUGUUUCUGAUCAGCUCUUACAGAUGUACUCGGAAUUAGAACUGGAUUAAGGUGCAUUGCCUAGAAGUAUAUGCAUGGCUUGAUCUUCCUCUCAGCAGUGUAUCAAAACCUUUUACAUAACUAACUACUGAACUGAAAACCUUCCUAUUUUCCUUUGAACUGAACCUCUAGAAUCAUCAACACCUUCUGCCUCAAAAAUAACUUGCACAUACUACAUAAGGAUAUUUCAGAAAAACCAAACAGAUUAACUGAAUAUACGAACUUCUCUUCUUUGUGCUUAGGAUUACAUGACUUACACCUUGGCUUCUGACUCUUGUAAUACAGUACUUGAUCAAUUUUCAGAAGUUAUGAACCCACCAGAUUGAUUGAGGGCCGAAGUCUGUCUAGCUGCUUGACAAUGAAAGACAAAGUCUGCUACUGAGUACAGUACAAAGUUGAAAGUGCGCUGGUGGAGCUUGUUCUCUGAACUUUAGACAUGCGCUGAACUUUUAAGCUAGAAUUAACUAUUAAGAGGUGUUGGCAUUUCCCAUUAAAUUCCUUGCUCCUUGUUGAUUCUAAAGGGCACAGAGCCACAGAAUCGAAGAGAUUGAGCAGCAGUAAGUAUAUCGUUUAAUAUUUUGUAUUAAAAUUUUGCGAACAUUUUGAGCAGCAAAGCAGGCUACUUAAGUGUGCUUCAUGAACUUGGAAGGGCUUCUACCACUGAAAAAGUGGGAUUGGAAUACAAUAAUGCUGUUCGAUACACAUAACUCAUGUCGACCUUUCUUAGUCUGACAUUAUAAUGCCAUUUAAAUUAAGGAAGAUAAAAUUGUUGUUAAUUAUGGUAUUAAUGGAUCUAAUUUCAGAUUCCCUUGACUCACCAAUUGUACUUUCCAAUUUUCUUAUACAGAAUUUAUAUUUCUAUAAAUCACCAGUAUCUUGUAAGAGGCAGUUCCUAAUGAUGAACACAGUAUACACCUAUCUAUACGGGAACUGAAAUCAUGCAAAAACAAAACAAAAAAAAUAUUCCUUGCUUUACAUUCUGUGUGUAGUCAUACGAUGUUCUUGAAGUUAGUUAAAUCCCAAACAUGAAUAAAUUUGUUUUUAAAAAAAAUUGUCAUUGGUAUAUUAUUUAUGAUCAGCUCUUUCAGAUGUAAUUAGAACUUGAUCAAAGAAUGUUGCAUUUCUUAGUAUAUUCUUGGCUUGAUCUGCUUCUCUUAGCUGGCAAUAAUAAUUUUCAGUAGCUAAGCUGUUGAGGUGGGAUUAAUGCUCGCUGUUAUGUCUCUCUACUCAUCUUAAUGAGGACAUGAUGUUAUCUAGGUCCUACCCAAAUCCACCUACGUUUAAUGCAU